rnacentral:rRNA from 1 species
GACGAACGCUGGCGGCGUGCCUAAUACAUGCAAGUAGAACGCUGAAGAGGGGAGCUUGCUCUUCGUGGAUGAGUUGCGAACGGGUGAGUAACGCGUAGGUAACCUGCCUUGUAGCGGGGGAUAACUAUGGGAAACGAUAGCUAAUACCGCAUAACAAUGGAUGACACAUGUCAUGUAGUUGAAAGGGGCAAUUGCUCCACUACAAGAUGGACCUGCGUUGUAUUAGCUAGUAGGUGAGGUAACGGCUCACCUAGGCGACGAUACAUAGCCGACCUGAGAGGGUGAUCGGCCGCACUGAGACUGAGACACGGCCCAGACGCCUACGGGAGGCAGCAGGAGGGAAUCUUAGGCAAUGGGGGCAAACCUGACCGAGCUGCGCCGCGUGAGUGAAGAAGGAUUUCGGAUCGUAAAGCUCUGUUGUAAGUCAAGAACGAGUGUGAGAGUGGAAAGUUCACACUGUGACGGUAGCUUACCAGAAAGGGACGGCUAACUACGUG